rfam:Oryza sativa (indica cultivar-group) chromosome 5, whole genome shotgun sequence.
AAUAAGUGCAGUUUUGCACUAUUCACGUUCAACGUUUGACCGUCCGUCUUAUUUGAAAAUGUUUUUAUAAUUAGUAUUUUAUAUUGCUAUUAGAUGAUAAACAUGAAUAGUACUUUAUGUGUGACUAAAUGUUUUUAAUUUUUUCACAAAUUUUUCAAAUAAGACGGACGGUCAAACGUUGAACGUGAAUAGUGCAAAACUGCACUUAUU